rnacentral:rRNA from 1 species
CCUACGGGAGGCUGCAGUGAGGAAUAUUGGUCAAUGGACGAGAGUCUGAACCAGCCAAGUAGCGUGAAGGAUGACUGCCCUAUGGGUUGUAAACUUCUUUUAUAUGGGAAUAAAAUGUUCCACGUGUGGGAUUUUGUAUGUACCCUAUGAAUAAGGAUCGGCUAACUCCGUGCCAGCAGCCGCGGUAAUACGGAGGAUCCGAGCGUUAUCCGGAUUUAUUGGGUUUAAAGGGAGCGUAGGUGGAUUGUUAAGUCAGUUGUGAAAGUUUGCGGCUCAACCUUAAAAUUGCAGUUGAAACUGGCAGUCUUGAGUACAGUAGAGGUGGGCGGAAUUCGUGGUGUAGCGGUGAAAUGCUUAGAUAUCACGAAGAACUCCGAUUGCGAAGGCAGUUCACUGGACUGCAACUGACACUGAGGCUCGAAAGUGUGGGUAUCAAACAGGAUUAGAUACCCCUGUAGUC